rnacentral:rRNA from 1 species
GACGAACGCUGGCGGCGUGCCUAAUACAUGCAAGUCGAGCGCAGGAAGUCGACGGAACCCUUCGGGGGGAAGUCGACGGAAUGAGCGGCGGACGGGUGAGUAACACGUAAAGAACCUGCCCUCAGGUCUGGGAUAACCACGAGAAAUCGGGGCUAAUACCGGAUGGGUCAUCGGACCGCAUGGUCCGAGGAGGAAAGGCGCUCCGGCGUCGCCUGGGGAUGGCUUUGCGGUGCAUUAGCUAGUUGGUGGGGUAAUGGCCCACCAAGGCGACGAUGCAUAGCCGACCUGAGAGGGUGAUCGGCCACACUGGGACUGAGACACGGCCCAGACUCCUACGGGAGGCAGCAGUAGGGAAUCUUCCACAAUGGACGAAAGUCUGAUGGAGCAACGCCGCGUGAACGAUGAAGGCCUUCGGGUCGUAAAGUUCUGUUGUAAGGGAAGAACAAGUGCCGCAGGCAAUGGCGGCACCUUGACGGUACCUUGCGAGAAAGCCACGGCUAACUACGUGCCAGCCGCCGCAGUAAUAC